AUACUCAACUGGCAGGGAAGUUACCAUGAUCAUGAAUCAUAAUCAUGAUCAGGGUGAGGCUUAACCAUUACAUUCCUGAUGUACUGUCCUUGGUGAUUUCCCCAAAUGAGGGAAAGUUGACUGUAUAAUUUAUGGUAGUAGGGGACUGUGUGCACAGUCCCCCA